rnacentral:rRNA from 1 species
UGGGGAAUAUUGCACAAUGGAGGGAACUCUGAUGCAGCGACGCCGCGUGAACGAAGAAGGCUUUCGAGUCGUAAAGUUCUUUUAUAUGGGAAGAUAAUGACGGUACCAUAAGAAAAAGCCCCGGCUAACUACGUGCCAGCAGUCGCGGUAAUACGUAGGGGGCUAGCGUUGUCCGGAAUCACUGGGCGUAAAGGGUUCGCAGGCGGAAAUGCAAGUCAGGUGUAAAAGGCAGUAGCUUAACUACUGUAAGCAUUUGAAACUGCAUAUCUUGAGAAGAGUAGAGGUAAGUGGAAUUUUUAGUGUAGCGGUGAAAUGCGUAGAUAUUAAAAAGAAUACCGGUGGCGAAGGCGACUUACUGGGCUCAUUCUGACGCUGAGGAACGAAAGCGUGGGUAGCAAACAGGA